rnacentral:rRNA from 1 species
AUUGAACGCUGGCGGCAGGCCUAACACAUGCAAGUCGAACGAGUGGCGGACGGGUGCGUAAUGUCUGGGAAACUGCCUGAUGGAGGGGGAUAACUAAUGGACACGGUAGCUAAUACCGCCUACCAUCAGCUUUGCCCAGAUGGGAUUCGCUUGUUGGUGGGGGAACGGCUCACCAAGGCCACGAUCCGUAGCUGGUCUGAGAGGAUGACCAGCCACACUGGAACUGAGACACGGUCCAGACUCCUACUGGAGGCAGCAGUGGGGAAUAUUGGACAAUGGGCGCAAGCCUGAUGCAGCCAUGCCGCGUGUAUGAAGAAGGCCUUCGGGUUGUAAAGUACUUUCAGCGGGGAGGCGUUACCCGCAGAAGAAGCACCGGCUAACUCCGUGCCAGCAGCCGCGGUAAUUC